CGCGGGGUGGAGCAGCCCGGUAGCUCGUCAGGCUCAUAACCUGAAGGUCGUUGGUUCAAAUCCAG
rnacentral:tRNA from 1 species